rnacentral:misc_RNA from 1 species
AAACUGCGAUAAGUAGUGUGAAUUGCAUUUAGUGAAUCAUCGAAUCUUUGAACGCACCCUGCACUCACUGGUAUUCCGGUGAGUACGCCUGUUUCAGUAUCAUUGAAAACACACAAUCAAAACAUUUUCUUUGGUUUGAUUGGCUUUGGGUCUAUCAAAAAGUUUGGCUUGUUUCUUACAAGCCAAGCGGCCUGAAAUAUAUUGUCUGGCUAAUUGCAUCGUUGAUGAUCGCUAUUAGACUUUGGCUUUUUUAAAUGAACUGGAGGUUGAUUAACCAGUUUUAGCUUUAGUCAAAUGGUCAUUGUAAAAAAAAUCUCGAUCUUGGCUAGGUGUUUAUAGCCGAAAAUUUUUUUUUGGCUAUAACCGAAACCAAUAUAAUCACAUUUAGUUAUCGAUCUGAAAUCAGUUGGGACUACCCGCUGAACUUAAGC